AGACGGAUAUUUGAUUAAAGUCCUCUGAAUAAACAGCGUCUCUGUUACCUCGGCAACCAGCAGGAGGACGUCAUUGGCUCGCCACAGCACAGAGUUCACCAUGGAGCUGAACGAGCUGAAACACAAACACACAACAGACGGUGAACCGGACUCUGACCUGCAGACACACAAACAGACUGGAACUGGUGUUUUUAAGUCGAGCUGGUAAUCAAUGAUUCAAUCGUACACGCGGCCGAUCGUUAACCACACUAAUGAAACAUCUACUAUUGACUCUUCAUUGUAAAAGUCAAAGUGACAUAUUUGAUACCAUGAUUGAUCUUUUUCAUUUCACUGAUUGAAUCAUCAGAUAUUUGAUGUGAACAGUUUUUACCAGCUGCUGUUCUUCCUCGCUCCUCGCUGGCUGCUGCGUCUGCUGCAGCAUCCUGACUCGUACAGAACCUGGAGGGAGGGACCGAGGGAACAAAGAGGAAGAAAAUAGCUGUCUUCAUCAUUAGGUAGCACAAAUACAACUUCCACUAUUAUCCCCACAUUCCACCGAGCACGGCUGCGACGCCUUCUGGCUCCACCGCUGCCGCCGCAGCUGAUCGCAUCUGCUCUGUUUCUGAUGAAGCCGUAGGAAGGAAGUCAAACACUAGGGUGGCCAUUCGUCCGGCUUUAGGCCGGACAGUCCGGCUUUUAAAUGCCCUGUCCGGCUGUAGGCAGCCUUCAGCCAGACACUUAUUUGUCCUCCUUUUGAGAAAAUAACUAAAAAGGUCGCCUUUUGACACAUUACCUCGUUAGUUUAAUACUUAUUGGCUUAAAAUGUGUGUCAAAAUAAGCAAUUUCAUUGGUUACAUUUUCGUGUUGUGACCUAUGAACACAUGGCUAAUUUUAGCCAAUUUGAGCCAUGUGUUGAUUCGCCAUGAUCACCGCAGUUGCUAGGUUGCCACCAGGCUGUCAAUCAAGCUCUCAGCGACAGAGAACGUAAGGUGAGCUAACGUCGGUUGUUGGACUGAAAUUAUGAAAAUGCUUAUACUCAAGGUGCUGUAUUUGUUUUCCCCUUUAUCUAUCCAGAUAAAAACAUCAAGAACAGUUUCUGUAUGAUGUUUAUUAGACCUAUGUAAUCUGAAUUGGAAGGGCACGUUGUCAUGAGCUGUAUCUUGUAUAUUUAUUAUUAGCUAUGUGGUAUGUGUAUGCACCUUUAUGUAAUCUGGUGGAAAAACAUUAAAAUUUAAAACCGGAUCAUACCAAACAAA